UCUGUUGUUGUAGAGCACCUUAACACAACAGUAGUUUCAAGUGUUGCAAUAAAUCCAUCAAUAACAACGCCUUUUAAAAAUUUUUAUCUACUGCAACACUUGUCUACUCCCUCCAUAUUUUCCCUCUUUUAAUUUCACAAAAAAAGGUAAAUAUUUAAUCCCUAAAAUUAUAUCAUCUUUAUGUCUUUUAGAAUUUUAGGUCAUACAUUAUCUUCUCCAUAGAAGUGAGUAACAAACCUAAACAAUCGAAAGAUUCUUGAACAAGAAUCUGGGUACAUCUUGAAUUUUUCUUUCAGCUUUUCUCAUUGUCUGUUCACAACAAAACAAAGAGAAACCUCAUUCAGAUGUAAAUUGCUCGAUCUUCACAUCUUGGUUUUUAGGGAUAAUGUAAAAGCUGCUCAAGACUUUGAAAAUCGGAAUAAGUUGUCACCAAGGAUAUAAGAUCAAAUUUUUUUCUCGUAUCUGUCUUAAGAUGCAAACUUAAUGAUUGCAAUAAAAAGAGACCAUGAAUGUUCUGCCAAAUUGUAUAAGAUCAGGCAUUCCACAUUACCUAUUUUUACCAAUAGUUCAAAUUGUUAGUGUAUUCCGAGGCGUUUCCAGGUGCCUUCUUUUCCAACUGAUUCCUGGAUUGGAAGUUGAAUACUAUCCUCCUAAGGAAGAUGUGAUUUUACAGUAUGAGUCUCAAACAAAUUUUUACUUAAAUAGUCUCAAGAUUAUUGGAUUUUCUAGUAGAUGCCGAUGAACGUGAACAAGUGCAGCUAAGAUCAACCCUUUGAUUUCAUCUAGGAGAUUUCACUAGAUGAGAAGGAGGAGGAGCAAGAAAAAAGGAUACUUUCAGUGAAUGAAAUCAUUAAAGGUGAACGGCCAUAUCCUAAAUGGAGUUUGUACUGCAAAUAGAAGGAAGAAGCUCUGAAUUUAGGAUAUUGCUUUAAGAUUCUUAUUUGGAUGGCCAUGAAUUAUGCAUUCUAGAAUUCGUAAAAGCCUCGACGAUAGGUGAUCAAUGAGCAAGUAAAACUGGAGUUCAAAGUAUAAGUAUUUUGUCAUUCUUAAUAGUAUACAUAAAUGUAAAAAUAUGUUAUUAAUAGAAGAACGGUAUAAAUAAGGUAACUAUAUAUAUAGAGAGGAUUUGAACAGGCUUGUUGGGGGAGCUAGUUAUUUGUUGCUUUGAUUGUAACUCUUUUGAUUGUUUUUUUGGAUUUUUGUUUGUUGAACAAAUAAUAGAUUACGUUAAGAGUUGUAUAAAUUUUUAUGUGCUAUAUU